rnacentral:rRNA from 1 species
AUUGAACGCUGGCGGCAUGCUUUACACAUGCAAGUCGAACGGUAACAGGCCGCAAGGUGCUGACGAGUGGCGAACGGGUGAGUAAUGCAUCGGAACGUGCCCAGUCGUGGGGAUAACUGCUCGAAAGAGCAGCUAAUACCGCAUACGAUCUAUGGAUGAAAGCGGGGGACCGUAAGGCCUCGCGCGAUUGGAGCGGCCGAUGUCAGAUUAGGUAGUUGGUGGGGUAAAGGCUCACCAAGCCAACGAUCUGUAGCUGGUCUGAGAGGACGACCGGCCACACUGGGACUGAGACACGGCCCAGACUCCUACGGGAGGCAGCAGUGGGGAAUUUUGGACAAUGGGGGCAACCCUGAUCCAGCAAUGCCGCGUGCAGGAAGAAGGCCUUCGGGUUGUAAACUGCUUUUGUACGGAACGAAACGGUCUGGGUUAAUACCCUGGGCUAAUGACGGUACCGUAAGAAUAAGCACCGGCUAACUACGUGCCAGCCGCCGCAGUAAGAC